rnacentral:ncRNA from 1 species
CUUCUAACUGGGAGGGCUCCAUAAGAGCCCUUCUAACUGGGAGGGCUCCAUAAUAUUACUAUGUAAUUCGUGCAUUACUGCUAGCCAACAUGUAUAAUAUAUA